rnacentral:lncRNA from 1 species
UGCAGAUCCAGAGUCUUUUCCUAUUGUUGAACUGAUUAGAGCCCGCAGAGAUUUUGGAAUUACGGCAGCUAUAGUGACAGCUGUGGCGGUAUCUGCUGCUGCAGCAGUUACAGCUGGAGUAGCCAUGGCCAGCCAGGUACAAACUGCUGCCACUAUUAAUCAGGUUAUUCAACAAACAUCCACCAUACUUGAAUCUCAAAGUAGAAUUAAUCAACACAUUUUAUCUGGGNAGUGUUGGAAUGGAUCCUGGCCUAUGGCAAUGGUUAUGAAAAUUCCAACUUUUGUCCCGAUCCCGGUUACUGCAGAUCCAGAGUUAUUUCCUAUUGUUGAACUGAUUAGAGCCCGUAGAGAUUUUGAAAUUACGGCAGCCAUAGUGACAGCUGUGGCGGUAUCUGCUGCUGCAGCAGUUAUAGCUGGAGUAGCCAUAGCCAGCCAAAUUCAAACUGCUGCCACUAUUAAUCAGGUUAUUCAACAAACAUCCACCAUACUUGAGUCUCAAAGUAAAAUUAAUCAACACACUUUAUCUGGGAUUCUAGCUGCUAAUCAAAGGAUAGAUCUGCUUCAAGCUCAAGUUGAGGAAUUGUNGGGUUGUGUUGAUCAACGUGCACAUUUAUGUAUAACCUCUGUCAGAUUUUAUGAUUCCAGAAAUGCCUCCCACAUCAUCGGGGAGUAUCCAUCCGGAACCUGGUCCAUGGAAGCAGAAAACAUGAUCCAGUCUCAACUAACCCAGAUAGCUGUCUUGAACAGUACCCGUGUCGAUCCCGUGACUUUGGGUCAAUUCACCGAUUGGAUAUCUUCUGCUUUUUCCUUCUUCAAAGAGUGGGUGGGAGUAGGCAUUUUUGGUGCAAUGUGUUGCUUCAGUGUUGUACUCUGUUUGUGGCUUCUCUGUCGCCUUAAAACUCGCCAUGCACAAGAAAAGGCUAUGAUCAUACAAGCUCUUNAUUGUCUGACCUAGUACAUUUGGGUUGUGUUGAUCAACGUGCACAUUUAUGUAUAACCUCUGUCAGAUUUAAUGAUUCCAAAAAUGCCUCCCGCAUCAUUGGCAAAUAUUUGGCCGAAAAUUGGUCCAUGGCAGCAGAAAACUUGAUCCAGUCUCAACUAACUCAGAUUGCUGUUUUAAACAAUACCCGUGUUGAACCAGUGACUUUGGGUCAAUUCACCGAUUGGAUAUCUUCUGCUUUUUCCUUCUUCAAAGAGUGGGUGGGAGUAGACAUUUUUGGUACAAUGUGUUGCUUCAGUGUUGUACUCUGUUUGUGGCUUCUCUGUCGCCUUAAGGCCCACAGUGCUCACGAUAAGGCUAUGAUCAUACAAGCUCUUGCAGCUUUAAAAAAUGGCAACUCACCUCAAGUCUGGCUUGCACAUCUUAAGCAGUAAACCUUUGUCAUGGUCGUUACACCCCAAGUUAUUAUAACAUUGCACUGGGAUCGACAUGACUUUCCUUGUUAUUCUCUUAGUGUUGGAAAGCCCUUACACUCUGCCGGUCUUACUGCCAUUGCACGCAGAUGGGUUUCCACACUAGUGCUUUUCUAUCGCCUUGAAGUUCGUGCCUUUCUUUCAGGGUGCUGUCAACUUGUUUGUCCUUAUAAACAGUCACAGUUCAGCCUCAGCUAUCCCCCUUCGUCCACCAUCGUCACGAUACAGGAUGCGAGACAAGGCACUGCACUUGAGUGAUCCUUGACGUGGACCUCAAGGAGAGCAUGUCCUAUUGC